AUUGCCUACUCCUACUCUCAUAGCUUGCUUCAAUUGCAAUUACAGACCUAAAGACUGCAACUCUACCUGGUGGUCAUCAUCUCACCUCAUGCUGAUGCAAAGCAACAAAUCUUCCCUAACGCGUGCCCACGUUUUCCGAUGGUAGUCGCACCACCCUGUCAAUCAUGGUACUUUCUUCACAGAGCUGACGCUAUCAAGGUUUUCCUAUCCUGUUGCACCUUGGCCUCUAUAUGUAGUGGUUUGAUGUGUUGUUUUUGUGAAGUGUGGAGUUUGAGAAGUUAUCACUACUGAGAUUGCUUCUUUUGUAAACUCAGCAUCCCAUUUGUCUGCAGCAUGAGCAAAGAACAAUUUAGCCUUCUUUGGUCCAUCAUUUUCUUCCGCGUGAGCAUCCUGCCAACACAAUUUUCGAAGGUGGUAAGGAAAGGGAGGACCCUUGAACACUUACCACACCUUGAUUUUGAUGUUCUGUGAAAAGGGACACUGGAACAAUGCCUACAAGUUGUUGAAGGAGAUGGUUGAAGAAAAAUGCCUAAAACCAGAUCUGCAAGUUUAUGAAAUGAUUCUAGAGCUGCCGAGGAAGGCUGGACAGCUAAAAAUGCAUGAGGAGUUGGUGGAGAAGAUGGGUUGCCACGGGAUUUGUCUCUCGCCCUUUGUAGAAGCAGCUUCAUCAUUAACAUCUAUAAGCCAAAUAAGAGAACUUUCAAUGUUUCCACAUUUCAGGAGGUUGUAAAUGCUAUUGAAUGCAACAAUGGAAAGUAUGACUGAGAGUUAGAGAUCAUACAUCAGUCCGGGAGGCUCAGAAGAAUGGAUCGUUAAAAACUGAUUGAAUUUGUUUCCAAAGCAACUGCCUAUAUGUUCCUCCCCUUAUGUAACUAGAGAAGUUAGUAGACAGCUUAUAUGAUAGUCAAAAGAGUUUUGACGCGGAACAGAUUCAUGGAGUUAUGACCCUGGAGCUGCAUCCUUAUCCAAGUCACAUCCAUAGGAUUUUCAGGGAUAUUUUACUCCCCUGUCUAUGUUGCAAGAUUCUCAGAGAUAUGGGUACAAUAGUGUAGAUAUUGCCUAAACCUAUGAUUGGUGCAUUGCCUAAGGGAUCUGUGGUUCUAAUGUAUGAUGAAUAUGAAGAGGUAGCAAAAGGAAAUCAAAUGAGGAGGUAUCAUCAAAACAAGAUGAAACUGAUGGGAUGAUUGUACAGUAUAAACCACCUGUAGGUGAAAAACUAAGCCCGUUGUUCCAUUAUUUCGUGGUUUCGAUAAGCUGUCAGAACCUGAGCUUCUGCAGAUGGAUUAGAAGACCGUUGCUGAUUUCUGAGUUCUUAUGCGUAUAGCUGAAAAAGUGGACUCACUAAAUAAUCAUUCUCCACAUCAACAGAUCUUGAAAGAUGAGAAGGGGGCAUUAUCAUAUGUUGAUGUUGAUUACAGCUUUUGGAUAGAUGAGACACAUGUCAAGGUUGCUUUGGUUGAGGAAGAUUUAUAAUUUCACUGUUGAGCAUGGAUAUUACAACAGCCAUAGCAGGCCUGUCUCUUGCACUUUCUUGAACACACAGAAGUCCAAUGUGCACACACCUCAAAAUAUCCUUCUCCUGAUCAGAACCAUGCAUCCCUUCAUCUAUUAAAGCAGCCAAGUAGCCUGACAAGAUUGCGGUGUUGAAGCUUAGAAAUCAGCGUGACCUCAUUCGUGAAUUCUACCAACCCUUGUCCAGAAACACUGGAAAGUUUUUUAACUGCUAUCUCUCUGCCAUCUUGCAGCUUCCCCUAUAAUAUUCUUACAUAAUGAUUCUGGAAUUUAAAAAAAUGGCUUUACAUAUGAACAUGAUUCACAUUGCAGGACUUAAUUUACCUACCUUGUAUACUGGACCAAAACCACCCUGACCAAGUUUGUUGGAGAAGUGGAAGUUGUUUGUGGCAAUUACAAGUGUUUCGGUAUCAAACAACAACGAAUCCUGCAGUUCAACUUGUGACGGAUCUCCAACUCCAAUUAAACUGCCACUUAUAUUUUCUGCUGAUGCUUCUCCUCGGUUGAAUAGCCCAACCCUAGUGUUUGGACAAAGAUAAGAAUCUAGGAGAGGACAACAGUUAACAUACCAAGUUCUGAGCUUGCUACACGAAUGCCAAGAUCAAUGCCUGCACUUGAAAACUGUUGUGUGUCAAUUAGAUUGCCACUCCA